rnacentral:piRNA from 1 species
UGUAAAAUUUGAAGGAAACAUUUGA